GUAGGACCUGGAGUAGUGUGUGUUGGGAGGCUGGGUCCCACUUUGGAUACAGGGUUCUGAAGUGUUUGGAAAAGAGAUGAGCUGCUGCAAUUCUUCUCACCCUCUGAAGAGUGCAGGUGACAUACUCUAGGUGACACACUUGCCACCAUUUCUUGACGGCAACGUCUACAAAGGCACACCAGGCAAGACUGCCUCUGUGAAAACCAGCUGUUGUCUGUCCCAGAUGUUACAAUGAGCAGGAUCCAUAACUUCAGCCCAGGGAGGUGACAGCUCACCACCACACUAGGUCCUGCUAGGAGAUGAAUUUCCUGGGCCUCGGCCAUUUCUGCCCCAGCAUGGACAGACAAGUUGUCCUGCAGCUCCCUGUGAAAAUGAGCAAAGGGGCAGUACAGUGUAUCGUGUCAUUGGGAACUAGGGGAUACAUACCCAGCUAUUUGUACUGUCCCUUGCGGUCCCUUCUUUGACCCUAUGGUCCUGUAAUUCUAUGUUGCUAUGACACAGUGCUGGUGUGGGUGUGUGGUGUGACAGCAGCACAUGGAACUUGACAGCGUGCUCAUGCUCUAGCCAGUUAAAUUAUUGUGAGGUAACUAAGGAUACGUCUACACUACAGCAGGGACCAUGCUUCUCCCGCUCAGACAGAGUUAACAUGCCAAAAAUAGCAGUGUCCUUGGGAGUAGCCUGAGCUAUCUGUGCUAUCAGUCCAUUUACAUAUCUGAGGGGUCUGGGCAGGUUUGAACUCAGGUAGCUAGUCUGGUUUGCCACCCAGGUGACCACUAGCUGUAGUGCUAUUUUUAGCAUGCUAGCUCGAGCUAGCUCAAUGGU